UUCAAUUUCGCGCGUCCACCAUCAAAGCGGCUCUCACGCGUUGUCAGUCAGCUGCAUCAAUCUGUCAGCUGUCGUCUCAGAUAUGGGAUCAUGCUGUGUUUCCAAACGUGUACUCAUUUUGGUGCGAUAAUUUUGUUCAUAGGACGAUCAUCAGAUUGAUUUCAUUCACGAUUGAAAUGGAAACGUUGAAGUUCAAAGGAGACGUAUACCGUCAACGUUAUCGAACGCAGAAAAUGCGUCUUUGAGCGUCUUCUCCAGCCGCGAAAGAUCUGAGGCCAACGUGACGUUAAGGCAAGAAACAGGAAACGAAAAGAAUGAAAUAGGGCUCAGUAUUGAAGAUGAAUAUGAACAGGAUCAUUAUAAGGGGAAUAUAUUGAGUGAAGGCGAAACUUCUGAAGGCAGUUCAAAUGAUAAUAGGAAGGUGCUAUGUGUCGACACGAAAUGUAAACCGAGUUUGACAAACGCGACAUCUCCAUAUUUAUUACCAAAUAAAAUUAUCUCGAUCCAGGAGACAUUUUUACAAUUGUUAUCCUCUGAAAGAUGUUCGAUUAAGGGAACACCUCCGCGCUUGCUCAACUAUAAAAAAGUAUUGAUGAUUCCGAAAGGAACUACUGGGGUGCCGAAAAUAGUAUGAAAUCACCUUCCUCCACCUCAACUGAAGAGUUCUUGAUGUUGGCUAUUGCUACUGCGUCGAAAGCCAUUCAAACGGACAAACCCCAACUUAAAGCUAUGGGCCCAGUAUAUGGCCGGUACAUUUGUAAUCACGAGCAAGCGCUUUCAGCCGAAUGUGGCGACCACUGUCGAUGGCUGUGCUAUCGCCUAAUUGCGUGCUGGUGUUUCAUGAAGGGGAGGACAUUUCGUGGGUCGACAUGGUUCACGCUGAGUUUCAGUUGAUAAGCGUGGCAGUUUUUCUCAAAUAUUUUCUACUUCAAGGAAGCAGCGUGAAGAGGCGCCGAAUUUUACGCUACGCGAUGUACUCAAUGGCAGUGGGGGUUGGCUUGUGACUCCGGGCGUUUCUCCAAGGAUAUGCUUACCUCUUCUACUAAGAAGAAGAGAAUUACCUCUAUUAAGCCCGUUGACGGCCCAAGAGAAAUGAUGCAGAUCUAGCAAUGAAUAAUAAUAGAAUGAAAAGGUCCAUAUACAAGCUGGGCCACGUGGUAUCUACUGACAUGUAGAAUCAUACACUUAGUUGAUAUGUCGCAACGUUACGUGUUCCACAUUAUAUGGAGAAACCUCCAUUUUGCAUGUCGAAAAUAUUUUGCGUAGCAUGUUGUACUAUGGAAGGGGCCGUUUAAGUAAACGUUCAGGUAUGUAUGUACAUAGUUUCCAAUGGUUCUCAGUAUAUUUUUAGAAAGAAUAGAGCAGAAGUACAUUCAUUGUUUAAUCAUGAGAUUAUUGAAUGGGACAAAUAGAAACCUAUUGUACAUAGGACUCUACAGAGAUUUUGUUAUAGUAGUGCGCGCAUUUACUAAUAGGUCAUUGUGGACACGAUUUUUGAUCUUUUGCUUUUGAAGUGUUGGAAAUGCGAGAGCAACAACCACAUGGGAUAACAGUUUUUAGAUUGGAGUCCUUAUUUUAACAGGAUACUUAACGAUCAUAAUAAAAUUUGUUCUUUUUCCCGAUGUCCAUCCUGUAUCCUUUUUCUUAUUUCAUCUCUAUGGUCUAUAUAUAUAUGGCGUGAACUUUCCCGACCGCAGUUAGUCCAGUGUGUCAUUGCAUCAGUUUUUGAUGCAAUCGCGUGCGUUUAAGGUAUUGUAAAUUCUACUCGUUACCAGCGUGUAUUCGAAACCCAAAGCUCAUUUAUGUUCGUGUGGGUGGGUUUAUUAUUUACUGCCGCCCCAUAGAUAACGCUACGGCCACACGAAGUAGAUUACGCAUCACCAUAUAUAGAUUACCCUAU
rnacentral:lncRNA from 1 species